UACGUAGGUGGCAAGCGUUGUCCGGAAUUAUUGGGCGUAAAGCGCGCGCAGGCGGUCCUUUAAGUCUGAUGUGAAAGCCCACGGCUCAACCGUGGAGGGUCAUUGGAAACUGGGGGACUUGAGUGCAGAAGAGGAAAGUGGAAUUCCAAGUGUAGCGGUGAAAUGCGUAGAGAUUUGGAGGAACACCAGUAGCGAAGGCGGCCAUCUGGCUGAUAACUGACGCUGAGGUGCGAGAGCGUGGGGAGCAAACAGG
rnacentral:rRNA from 1 species